AUCAACUCCCCCGCCACUGCCAGCACUCUGGAAUAGAUGGAAAUGCUGCAAAAUAUUAACAUGUCAAAGCACUUCAUGGUAUUCUUUGUUUAAAGAAGAAGAGCUUACUACAAUAUAAGAAACAGAGGGGAAAAAACAGGCAAAUACAGCAUCAACAGAAGAACCGAAAUUUGACAGUCUGAACAGUUUUGAAAUCUGUACUCAAUCACAUUUCACAAAAAAAAAAAAAAAAAAGACAAUUAAAU